CUGCUGGAGGAGGCCUGUGGCCAGGUACCUGUCCCCUACUGCCAUAGCUUCCCAGCCCUGCAGCCUCAGGGUCGCCUCUCUUCCUGCGCUGGCCUGGAGCACUUCUUGAUCUGCCCUGAGCAACUGGGCCAGGGGGUGUGCGUCCUAGAGUUGAGCACAACUCUUCAAAGCCAGCACGGAGACGACAGGAAUUCUUUCCACGUUGGCGAAGGAGAACACGCCCUCUCGCACGUGUGCUCUCCUCUGUUGGUGGCAUCCACACUGGGGCUGCCAGGACAAGCGUGUGACAUCAGGAAGAGCUUCCGGUCCCACCCACAGUCUCGGGGAGGGACGAGGGGCUGGCGUUGGAUCAGUCGCCAAUGGCCCGUGAUUUAUCAACGUGCCCAGGGAAUGAAGCCUCCAUAAAACCCCCAAAGGACGGGGUUCAGAGAGCUCUGGGUUGGUGAACCACAAUGUGUCCACAUGCCACCAUGCCAAGGGGACCUUGCCCUGUGUAUCUCUUCAUCUGGCUGUUGAUUCGUAUUCUUUAACGUCCUCUAUAAUACACCAGUAAUCCAGCAGGUAGACACUGAGCUCUGUGAGCCGAGCGAGCGAGUGAAUGGAACCCCCGGAGCGGGUGGGGGAGCUGUGAUCUGCAGCCCGUGGGCCAGGAGCAGGGUGGACGGUGUCAGAACUGAGCUCAAGUGUAGGACGCUGGUCAGCAUCUGCUGGGAAUCGGAGAAGCACUUGGUGUAGGACGAGCCACGGAGAGGGUUCCAGGUGGACGGACAGACUCCACGGUCGGGCUGGGCAGCGGCUGGAAUCACUGGCGUGAGGACGGCGUGAAGUGGUGUCUUGGUGACUCCCUUUCUAGUGCGGGGCAGUUUCGAGGCCGUGGAUGCUUGUUUCGCUGAUCUGUGUAUUCAGCGUGUGCACCGGGCCUCCUGGGGCGCCCAGGAGAAGCUCUAACUCGCUGGUUCCUGACUCCAGUCUACAGAGGUGGCUGCUUGGUGGCAGCAUCCUGGCACCAUCAGGAAAAGGUCUCUGAGGUCCUGGCAAAUGCCGGCUGUUCUGAAGAUGCUGCUCUGGGUCAGUCUGGCGGACGGGGAGCCUCUCCCAGCGCACGGGAUCCCUGGGACAGUGCUGCUGUGGUCCACUAGGACCCGGCUGCUCUCCUGACUUAGCCUGAGAGGACCAACCGCCCAGGCCCUGCAUUGGCAGGGAGGAGGAGCGUGUGCCGCCGCCCCCCCCCCCCCCCCCCCC